rnacentral:rRNA from 2 species
GGUCAUUUAGAGGAAGUAAAAGUCGUAACAAGGUUUCCGUAGGUGAACCUGCGGAAGGAUCAUUAAUUAUGUUAAAGCGCCUUACCUUAGGGUUUCCUCUGGGGUAAGUGAUUGCUUCUACACUGUGAAAAUUUGGCUGAGAGACUCAGACUGGUCAUGGGUAGACCUAUCUGGGGUUUGAUCGAUGCCACUCCUGGUUUCAGGAGUACCCUUCAUAAUAAACCUAGAAAUUCAGUAUUAUAAAGUUUAAUAAAAAACAACUUUUAACAAUGGAUCUCUUGGUUCUCGCAUCGAUGAAGAACGUAGCAAAGUGCGAUAACUAGUGUGAAUUGCAUAUUCAGUGAAUCAUCGAGUCUUUGAACGCAGCUUGCACUCUAUGGUUUUUCUAUAGAGUACGCCUGCUUCAGUAUCAUCACAAACCCACACAUAACAUUUGUUUAUGUGGUGAUGGGUCGCAUCGCUGUUUUAUUACAGUGAGCACCUAAAAUGUGUGUGAUUUUCUGUCUGGCUUGCUAGGCAGGAAUAUUACGCUGGUCUCAGGAUCUUUUUUUUUGGUUCGCCCAGGAAGUAAAGUACAAGAGUAUAAUCCAGUAACUUUCAAACUAUGAUCUGAAGUCAGGUGGGAUUACCCGCUGAACUUAAGCAUAUCAAUAAGCGGAGGA